rnacentral:rRNA from 1 species
UACGAAGGGGGCUAGCGUUGUUCGGAGUUACUGGGCGUAAAGGGUGCGUAGGCGGUUGUUUAAGUUUGGUGUGAAAUCUCCCGGCUCAACUGGGAGGGUGCGCCGAAUACUGAAUGACUAGAGUGCGGGAGAGGAGAGUGGAAUUCCUGGUGUAGCGGUGAAAUGCGUAGAUAUCAGGAGGAACACCGGUGGUGUAGACGGCUCUCUGGACCGUAACUGACGCUGAGGCACGAAAGCUAGGGGAGCAAACGGG